rnacentral:rRNA from 1 species
CGAGUGAAGCGGCAAAAGCUCAAAUUUGAAAUCUGGUACCUUUGGUGCCCGAGUUGUAAUUUGGAGAGUACCACUUUGGGACUGUACUUUGCCUAUGUUCCUUGGAACAGGACGUCAUGGAGGGUGAGAAUCCCGUGUGGCGAGGGUGUCAGUUCUUUGUAAAGGGUGCUCGAAGAGUCGAGUUGUUUGGGAAUGCAGCUCUAAGUGGGUGGUAAAUUCCAUCUAAAGCUAAAUACAGGCGAGAGACCGAUAGCGAACAAGUACAGUGAUGGAAAGAUGAAAAGAACUUUGAAAAGAGAGUGAAAAAGUACGUGAAAUUGUUGAAAGGGAAGGGCAUUUGAUCAGACAUGGUGUUUUGCGCCCCUUGCCUCUCGUGGGCUUGGGACUCUCGCAGCUCACUGGGCCAGCAUCGGUUUUGGCGGCCGGAAAAAACCUAGGGAAUGUGGCUCUGCGCCUCGGUGUAGAGUGUUAUAGCCCUGGGGAAUACGGCCAGCCGGGACCGAGGACUGCGAUACUUGUUAUCUAGGAUGCUGGCAUAAUGGUUAUAUGCCGCCCGUCUUGA